AUAGCUGGCUGAAAGCAGCGGCAGCAGUGACUCCGAUGACAACCAGUGGAUUAGCCAACAAGACCCAGAUCACCCCACCUGAAUGGUCCUACAAUGAAAUCCAACCACUGAGGUACUAAUCAUUGUGCAAGGCUGGGAGAAGUCUGGAGCCACUGAUGAUUUCUGAACAGGGCACACCCUGGCAUUAUUCAAAGGCUUCUGGACAAGCCAGCCUCUGACAGCCCAUCCAGGUGUUGGUAAUGGAUCUCCAGCUAUCCUGUCAAAAAAUGUUCCUAAAUUUUACUUCCUUUCUACCAGUGUUCAC
rnacentral:lncRNA from 10 species